rnacentral:rRNA from 1 species
GACGAACGCUGGCGGCGUGCUUAACACAUGCAAGUCGAACGGAAAGGCGCGGCGCUUGUGGGGUGCUCGAGUGGCGAACGGGGGAGAGACACGUGAGGAACCUGCCCUUAACUGUGGGAGAAAUUCAGGAAACAGGGGAGAAUACCGGGGAGGAGAUACUGCUGCAUGGGGGGGGAUGGAGAAUGUCGGCGGUUGGGGAUGGAUUCGAGGGUUAUCAGCUUGUUGGGGGGGUAGUGGUGGACCAAGGCUUUGACGGGUAGCCGGCCUGAGAGGGUGAACGGCCUCCUUGGGCCUGCGAUACGGCCCAGAAUCCUACGGGCGGCAGUAGUGGGGAAUCUUGCACAACGGCCGGACGCCUGAUGCAGCAACGCCGCGUGCGUGAUGACGUCCUUCGGGUUGUAAACCGCUUUCGCCUGUGCCGAAGCGUGCGUGACGGUAACGGGUCAAGAAGCCCCGGCUAACUACGUG